rnacentral:rRNA from 1 species
CCUACGGGUGGCAGCAGUGAGGAAUAUUGGUCAAUGGACGAGAGUCUGAACCAGCCAAGUAGCGUGAAGGAUGACUGCCCUAUGGGUUGUAAACUUCUUUUAUAUGAGAAUAAAACGUUCCACGUGUGGGAUUUUGUAUGUACCAUAUGAAUAAGGAUCGGCUAACUCCGUGCCAGCAGCCGCGGUAAUACGGAGGAUCCGAGCGUUAUCCGGAUUUAUUGGGUUUAAAGGGAGCGUAGGUGGAUUGUUAAGUCAGUUGUGAAAGUUUGCGGCUCAACCGUAAAAUUGCAGUUGAAACUGGCAGUCUUGAGUACAGUAGAGGUGGGCGGAAUUCGUGGUGUAGCGGUGAAAUGCUUAGAUAUCACGAAGAACUCCGAUUGCGAAGGCAGUUCACUGGACUGCAACUGACACUGAGGCUCGAAAGUGUGGGUAUCAAACAGGAUUAGAUACCCCUGUAGUC